GCCUGGGUGGCGGAAUUGGUAGACGCGCACGACUCAAACUCGUGUUCCUCGGAGUGUGGGUUCGAUUCCCACCCCAGGUA
rnacentral:tRNA from 2 species